CAGAAAUAGGUUGGUAACUGACUCAUGUUAGAAAAUAUAACAUUUAAAAAUAGAGAUGAUCACAUGCUGUGGGUGAUCCCAUGGAAUGGGGCUUCAGGUGGAGGUAGAAUUUAAACCGUGUUUUCUGCUCUCCUGUCACAGCACUGCUAUUAUUUGUGUUUCCCACACAGAAUCACAGCUUUUUGCACCUCCUCAAUGUGACUUACCAUAUUUAGGAACUGAGGCAAUCUGAAACCUUUUGAGAUAUGGUGGCCAGAAUUAAAUGGAAUACUCAGAUUCUCAAUGCACGUUUAAAGGCUGAAACAUCCACAGCAGCACUGCAAAGAUGGCAGGAAAUGGUGCAAAAGCAAAUAAAGUGGAAGAGAACAAGUGAGUGUGAAAGAAGAGCAACUCCAUGCUAUUGGCUGUACUCAGCAGGACUGAUGAGGGCAGUCUUUAUAGGAUAUAGAAGAUGGGAUUUCUGAAAGGGCAGUCUGCCCUUCUGAGGCCAAAGAACAGUCCUGCCCUGCCAGGAUCCGUGUGGACUAGGAUCUGGUGCCCGACUCUGACACCUCCGUAAAGAACCCAGCGUGGCCUCUUGAAGAAAGAGGUGCGAAGUGAAGACCGAGACUGCUUUCCACAAAGGAAGAAUACAUUCUGUGAAGGAUGCCAAAGGUUAGAAAACUAUGCAGAGGCUUUGAGAAUCAUUUUCUGUUUCUAGCCCUUAUUGAGAGGUAG
rnacentral:lncRNA from 1 species